GCUGCACGGGGCUCCCUCCUUACCGCAGGAGCUCCUCAUCGAGAAAUCCAGGUUGGUGUCUUUUCCACGUGGUAGAAGCUGGCUAACCUCCACUUCCACAUUCCAGCCCAAGGGAAAGUCCAAGGUAAGUAGAUAUUUCUUUAAGGGGAUGACUUGGAAGUUGCACACUUCAUUUUCACUCACCAUUGGCUUGAACCUAGUCAUGUGACCACAUCAGUCAAGAAGGCAGACUGGGAUCUAUAGUCUCCAGCUGUCAGCCAUGUACAGUUGUCCCUUGGUAUCCAUGGGGGAUUGGUUCCAGGAUGCUACCUGAGAAAUUAAAAUGUGCAAAUGCUCAAGUUCAUUAUAUAAAAUGGCAUAGUAUUUGCAUACAACCUGUGCAUACCCACCUGCAUACUUGUAAUCAUCUUUAGAUUACUUAUAAUAUCUAACACAAUGUGAAUGCUAUAUAAAUAGUUGUUAUACUAUAUUGUUCAGUACAGAUGCAACUAUAGUAGGCCUAACUACAUUUUCUAUCCACGGUUGAAUCUGCACAUACAGAACCCAUGGAAACCCAAGGCCAACUCUGUGUGUGUGUGUGUGUGUGUGUGUGUGUGUGUGUAUUCAGCUAAAAUUCAGGGGGAAGGGAUUAUUACUAAAGAUGAGUAGGAAUAGUGAGAGAUGGACUCAUUGGACUCUUAUUUAGAUAUUAAAAAUCUAGGCUGGCCAUGGUGGCUCACGCCUGUAAUCCCAGUACUUUGGGACGCCAAGGCGGGCGGAUCACCUGAGGU
rnacentral:sRNA from 1 species